rnacentral:tRNA from 1 species
GCAGAAAUGGUGGAAUUGGUAGACACGCUAGGUUCAGGGUCUAGUGAGCAAUACGCUUGUGGGGGUUCGACUCCCCCUUUCUGCACCA